AUUUAACACUGUUUCAAUAUAAAAAUUAUAAAUUAAAUCCAAAACGUAAAUUUGACUAACGUCCCAUUGAUAUUCACCUCUUUUUGCUAAUGUUCUCAAAGCUCACCACUCUUUGAUUAAUUAUUUUUUUUCAAUGCGCCCGUACGGUAAAAAGCUCUAAGAGCAAGAUAUUGCAAGCCACCAACUAUACUUCUAUACAGUGUUGGAUUACAGAAUGAAGCACCAGAGUGCACACUGAGUUUAGUUUUGGGAUGGUAGGAGUAGAGAUGCACUUGCGUUGAUCCAUUUGUGCCCUACAUAAUAAAUCACUAACAUAUUUAGCCUGGGUCAAGAACAAACAGGUGGAUGUCCUUGUAGCUUUGAUUCCAAGAAAAAAAUCCAAUGGCCCCAACUCCCGAAUCAUGAAAGAUUGUUCGAGAGAUUGAAUGGUUUGAUGAAUAAAGGCUGCAUUGUUGCUGGUGAAUAGGAUGUCAUCUACAUAAACUAAGCAAUAAAUUUUGGUGGCACCAUUUUUAUAAAUGAACAAAGAUGAGUCAGAGUUGUUAGUUUUGAAAAGCAGAGCAAGUAAGGCAUGCUUGAGCUUGGAGUACCAUUAACGCGGUGCCUGUUUGAGUCCAUACAAAGAUCGCUUGAGUUUACAUACAUGAGUGCUUCGGUCUGGAUCA
rnacentral:misc_RNA from 1 species